rnacentral:rRNA from 1 species
UACGAAGGGGGCUAGCGUUGUUCGGAUUUACUGGGCGUAAAGCGCACGUAGGCGGAUCGAUCAGUCAGGGGUGAAAUCCCAGAGCUCAACUCUGGAACUGCCUUUGAUACUGUCGAUCUGGAGUAUGGAAGAGGUGAGUGGAAUUCCCAGUGUAGUGGUGAAAUACGUAGAGAUCGGGAGGAACACCAGUGGCGAAGGCGGCUCGCUGGGCCGGUCCUGACGCUGAGACGCGAAGGCGUGGGGAGCGAACGGG